rnacentral:rRNA from 1 species
GGGACACGUGGUAUCCUGUCUGAAUAUGGGGGGACCAUCCUCCAAGGCUAAAUACUCCUGACUGACCGAUAGUGAACCAGUACCGUGAGGGAAAGGCGAAAAGAACCCCGGCGAGGGGAGUGAAAAAGAACCUGAAACCGUGUACGUACAAGCAGUGGGAGCACGCUUAGGCGUGUGACUGCGUACCUUUUGUAUAAUGGGUCAGCGACUUAUAUUCUGUAGCAAGGUUAACCGAAUAGGGGAGCCGAAGGGAAACCGAGUCUUAACUGGGCGUUAAGUUGCAGGGUAUAGACCCGAAACCCGGUGAUCUAGCCAUGGGCAGGUUGAAGGUUGGGUAACACUAACUGGAGGACCGAACCGACUAAUGUUGAAAAAUUAGCGGAUGACUUGUGGCUGGGGGUGAAAGGCCAAUCAAACCGGGAGAUAGCUGGUUCUCCCCGAAAGCUAUUUAGGUAGCGCCUCGUGAAUUCAUCUCCGGGGGUAGAGCACUGUUUCGGCAAGGGGGUCAUCCCGACUUACCAACCCGAUGCAAACUGCGAAUACCGGAGAAUGUUAUCACGGGAGACACACGGCGGGUGCUAACGUCCGUCGUGAAGAGGGAAACAACCCAGACCGCCAGCUAAGGUCCCAAAGUCAUGGUUAAGUGGGAAACGAUGUGGGAAGGCCCAGACAGCCAGGAUGUUGGCUUAGAAGCAGCCAUCAUUUAAAGAAAGCGUAAUAGCUCACUGGUCGAGUCGGCCUGCGCGGAAGAUGUAACGGGGCUAAACCAUGCACCGAAGCUGCGGCAGCGACGCUUAUGCGUUGUUGGGUAGGGGAGCGUUCUGUAAGCCUGUGAAGGUGUGCUGUGAGGCAUGCUGGAGGUAUCAGAAGUGCGAAUGCUGACAUAAGUAACGAUAAAGCGGGUGAAAAGCCCGCUCGCCGGAAGACCAAGGGUUCCUGUCCAACGUUAAUCGGGGCAGGGUGAGUCGACCCCUAAGGCGAGGCCGAAAGGCGUAGUCGAUGGGAAACAGGUUAAUAUUCCUGUACUUGGUGUUACUGCGAAGGGGGGACGGAGAAGGCUAUGUUGGCCGGGCGACGGUUGUCCCGGUUUAAGCGUGUAGGCUGGUUUUCCAGGCAAAUCCGGAAAAUCAAGGCUGAGGCGUGAUGACGAGGCACUACGGUGCUGAAGCAACAAAUGCCCUGCUUCCAGGAAAAGCCUCUAAGCAUCAGGUAACAUCAAAUCGUACCCCAAACCGACACAGGUGGUCAGGUAGAGAAUACCAAGGCGCUUGAGAGAACUCGGGUGAAGGAACUAGGCAAAAUGGUGCCGUAACUUCGGGAGAAGGCACGCUGAUAUGUAGGUGAAGUCCCUUGCGGAUGGAGCUGAAAUCAGUCGAAGAUACCAGCUGGCUGCAACUGUUUAUUAAAAACACAGCACUGUGCAAACACGAAAGUGGACGUAUACGGUGUGACGCCUGCCCGGUGCCGGAAGGUUAAUUGAUGGGGUCAGCGCAAGCGAAGCUCUUGAUCGAAGCCCCGGUAAACGGCGGCCGUAACUAUAACGGUCCUAAGGUAGCGAAAUUCCUUGUCGGGUAAGUUCCGACCUGCACGAAUGGCGUAAUGAUGGCCAGGCUGUCUCCACCCGAGACUCAGUGAAAUUGAACUCGCUGUGAAGAUGCAGUGUACCCGCGGCAAGACGGAAAGACCCCGUGAACCUUUACUAUAGCUUGACACUGAACAUUGAGCCUUGAUGUGUAGGAUAGGUGGGAGGCUUUGAAGUGUGGACGCCAGUCUGCAUGGAGCCGACCUUGAAAUACCACCCUUUAAUGUUUGAUGUUCUAACGUGGACCCGUGAUCCGGGUUGCGGACAGUGUCUGGUGGGUAGUUUGACUGGGGCGGUCUCCUCCUAAAGAGUAACGGAGGAGCACGAAGGUUGGCUAAUCCUGGUCGGACAUCAGGAGGUUAGUGCAAUGGCAUAAGCCAGCUUGACUGCGAGCGUGACGGCGCGAGCAGGUGCGAAAGCAGGUCAUAGUGAUCCGGUGGUUCUGAAUGGAAGGGCCAUCGCUCAACGGAUAAAAGGUACUCCGGGGAUAACAGGCUGAUACCGCCCAAGAGUUCAUAUCGACGGCGGUGUUUGGCACCUCGAUGUCGGCUCAUCACAUCCUGGGGCUGAAGUAGGUCCCAAGGGUAUGGCUGUUCGCCAUUUAAAGUGGUACGCGAGCUGGGUUUAGAACGUCGUGAGACAGUUCGGUCCCUAUCUGCCGUGGGCGCUGGAGAACUGAGGGGGGCUGCUCCUAGUACGAGAGGACCGGAGUGGACGCAUCACUGGUGUUCGGGUUGUCAUGCCAAUGGCACUGCCCGGUAGCUAAAUGCGGAAGAGAUAAGUGCUGAAAGCAUCUAAGCACGAAACUUGCCCCGAGAUGAGUUCUCCCUGACUCCUUGAGAGUCCUGAAGGAACGUUGAAGACGACGACGUUGAUAGGCCGGGUGUGUAAGCGCAGCGAUGCGUUGAGCUAACCGGUACUAAU